GACGAACGCUGGCGGCGUGCCUAACACAUGCAAGUCGAACGGAACUGUUUUGAAAGAUUUCUUCGGAAUGAAUUUGAUUUAGUUUAGUGGCGGACGGGUGAGUAACGCGUGAGUAACCUGCCUUCAAGAGGGGGAUAACAUUCUGAAAAGAAUGCUAAUACCGCAUGACAUAUCGGAACCACAUGGUUUUGAUAUCAAAGAUUUUAUCGCUUGAAGAUGGACUCGCGUCCGAUUAGUUAGUUGGUGAGGUAACGGCUCACCAAGACCGCGAUCGGUAGCCGGACUGAGAGGUUGAACGGCCACAUUGGGACUGAGACACGGCCCAGACUCCUACGGGAGGCAGCAGUGGGGGAUAUUGCGCAAUGGGGGCAACCCUGACGCAGCAACGCCGCGUGAAGGAUGAAGGUUUUCGGAUUGUAAACUUCUUUUAUUAAGGACGAAACUUGACGGUACUUAAUGAAUAAGCUCCGGCUAACUACGUGCCAGCAGCCGCGGUAAUACGUAGGGAGCAAGCGUUGUCCGGAUUUACUGGGUGUAAAGGGUGCGUAGGCGGCUUUGCAAGUCAGAUGUGAAAUCUAUGGGCUCAACCCAUAAACUGCAUUUGAAACUGUAGAGCUUGAGUGAAGUAGAGGCAGGCGGAAUUCCCCGUGUAGCGGUGAAAUGCGUAGAGAUGGGGAGGAACACCAGUGGCGAAGGCGGCCUGCUGGGCUUUAACUGACGCUGAGGCACGAAAGCGUGGGUAGCAAACAGGAUUAGAUACCCUGGUAGUCCACGCUGUAAAC
rnacentral:rRNA from 1 species